CCUACGGGAGGCUGCAGUGGGGAAUAUUGGACAAUGGGCGAAAGCCUGAUCCAGCCAUGCCGCGUGUGUGAAGAAGGCCUUCGGGUUGUAAAGCACUUUCAGUGGGGAAGAAAGCCUUGGGGCUAAUACCCUCGAGGAAGGACAUCACCCACAGAAGAAGCACCGGCUAACUCCGUGCCAGCAGCCGCGGUAAUACGGAGGGUGCGAGCGUUAAUCGGAAUUACUGGGCGUAAAGCGCGCGUAGGCGGUCUGAUAAGCCGGUUGUGAAAGCCCCGGGCUCAACCUGGGAACGGCAUCCGGAACUGUCAGGCUAGAGUGCAGGAGAGGAAGGUAGAAUUCCCGGUGUAGCGGUGAAAUGCGUUGAGAUCGGGAGGAAUACCAGUGGCGAAGGCGGCCUUCUGGACUGACACUGACGCUGAGGUGCGAAAGCGUGGGUAGCAAACAGGAUUAGAUACCCGAGUAGUC
rnacentral:rRNA from 1 species